rnacentral:lncRNA from 1 species
CUUUGCAAAGGUGAAAAAAUUAGAAUACAGAAUACUAUGGAUACUUGUUUGUAUAUUUCAGAACCUAAGAGCUAUCCACAUAUACUGGAUAUUGAGCAAGGAACAACUACUUUCAAGUCCUGCUUCUCUUAUAAUUAACAAAUCAUUGAACAUUUCAGGGUUCUAGGCAACUCUGCAACCAGAAGUAGCUAAAAAGAUGCUGACCAGUGGUGGUAGGGAUGUUUCUAGGAGCUCUGGGUUUUAGUAUCAACAUAGAUGAUAUUUUAGUACCUUAUUAAAUUCGCUUUUUUUUAAAAAAUAAUUAUACAAAAAUCCUAUGAUUUCCUUUUAGGUUGAAGAGGAAGAGAACAAGCCUCAACACAGUGAAAUGGAAACACCACUGGACGGAUUUGGAGAAAAACUACCUGAAGAUAACAUGACUGUCAAUUUUAAUAAGCUGCCAUUUAAUGUAAAGGAUCAUCAUGGCAAUGAAAGUGAGGAGAAUAAAAUCCCUGUGGAAGAAACUCCAAAACUGACUGUUCCUUCUUCCAAGGAAUCUUCAAUACCUGUGCUCCAUCGUUUCAUAAGGUUCCCACUGAAAAAAGAGAAAGAAAAGCAAUCGAGAGCAGGUAUGCCUCUUAAAACAAUCAGAGAACAAAUAAGAAGAAAAGAAAAAUUAUCCAGUAAAGAAGUGGAGAAGAAACAGUCAUUGGAAGUGGCUGAACAAUCUCAGACCACAAAACUAAGACUGGGAGAAAAUAAUUUGACACAGGUGAAUUGGAAAAUUAUAGUCAGUAUUUCCAUCUUUGCUUGAUAGAGAAUAUGAAUUGGUUUCCUGGGUGUGAGCAGCUGAAUGCUUGGAAGGCUUAUAUUCCUGCUACAAAAGUUCAGUGGCUGUUAGGUGGAGUCUAAUUCAGUUGGGCUCAAUGCUACAUGAAUGUAGGUUCAUGUAUAUAUCAAGAAAUAUAAAGGCGUCUCUCUUUUUAACAUUUGAGUGCACUAUUGCAAGGUCACUAACCAUGGAGAACAUAAGAUGACAUGCAUUUGCUGUCACAAUUAGAGGAGAAUAAGAAAUGAAAGGUAUGAAAAUAGACAAUGAGGAGACCAAGUUAUCCCUCUUUGCAGAUGAUCUGAU